rnacentral:rRNA from 1 species
AUACGUAGGGGGCGAGCGUUGUCCGGAAUGACUGGGCGUAAAGGGCUCGUAGGUGGUUUGUCGCGUCGUCUGUGAAAUUCCGGGGCUUAACUCCGGGCGUGCAGGCGAUACGGGCAUAACUUGAGUACUGUAGGGGAGACUGGAAUUCCUGGUGUAGCGGUGAAAUGCGCAGAUAUCAGGAGGAACACCGGUGGCGAAGGCGGGUCUCUGGGCAGUAACUGACGCUGAGGAGCGAAAGCAUGGUGAGCGAACAGGAUUAGAUACCCUGGUAGUCCAUGCCGUAAACGGUGGGCGCUAGGUGUAGGGGUCUUCCACGACUUCUGUGCCGUAGCUAACGCAUUAAGCGCCCCGCCUGGGGAGUACGGCCGCAAGGCUAAAACUCAAAGGAAUUGACGGGG